UACGGGGGGGGUAAGCGUUGUUCGGAAUUACUGGGCGUAAAGGGCUCGUAGGCGGCCAACUAAGUCAGACGUGAAAUCCCUCGGCUUAACCAAGGAAGUGCAUCCGAAACUGCAGUACUUGAGUACGAAAGAGGAUCGCGGAAUUCCCGGUGUAGAGGUGAAAUUCGUAGAUAUCGGGAGGAACACCAGUGGCGAAGGCGGCGAUCUGGGUGGAUACUGACGCUGAGGUGCGAAAGCGUGGGGAGCAAACAGG
rnacentral:rRNA from 1 species